rnacentral:rRNA from 1 species
UACGAAGGGGGCUAGCGUUGCUCGGAAUUACUGGGCGUAAAGCGCACGUAGGCGGCUUUCUAAGUCGGGGGUGAAAUCCUGGAGCUCAACUCCAGAACUGCCUUCGAUACUGGAGAGCUCGAGUCCGGGAGAGGUGAGUGGAACUGCGAGUGUAGAGGUGAAAUUCGUAGAUAUUCGCAAGAACACCAGUGGCGAAGGCGGCACGCUGGACCCCUUCUGGACGCUGAGGCGCGAAAGCCAGGGGAGCGAACGGG